UCCCUCUCAGGGUCGCACCUGGAGAGUUUCCAGUACUCUACUAGUCUCUACUAUGGGAGGGAGAGUCAAGCAGAGGCAUAUCCAUUCCAUUCCUAGCUUGGCCAGUGGCUAACGAGUGGAAGGCCUUCUGCUACAAGG
rnacentral:snoRNA from 1 species